UACGUAGGUGGCAAGCGUUGUCCGGAAUUAUUGGGCGUAAAGCGUGCGCAGGCGGUUGGCAAAGUCAGCUGUGAAAGCCCCGGGCUUAACCUGGGAAUGGCGGUUGAAACUAGUCGACUAGAAUCUGGCAGAGGGGGGUGGGAAUUCCACGUGUAGCAGUGGAAAUGCGUAGGAGAUGUGGAGGAACACCGAUGGCGAAGGCAGCCCCUGG
rnacentral:rRNA from 1 species